UACGUAGGGUGCAAGCGUUGUCCGGAAUUAUUGGGCGUAAAGGGCUCGUAGGCGGUCUGUUGCGUCAGGAGUGAAAACUCGGGGCUUAACCCCGAGCCUGCUUCUGAUACGGGCAGACUAGAGGUAUGCAGGGGAGAACGGAAUUCCUGGUGUAGCGGUGAAAUGCGCAGAUAUCAGGAGGAACACCGGUGGCGAAGGCGGCCUGCUGGGCAGUGGCUGACGCUGGAGGCGCGACAGCGUGGGGAGCAAACAGG
rnacentral:rRNA from 1 species